AGACCCGAAACCCGGUGAUCUAGCCAUGGGCAGGUUGAAGGUUGGGUAACACUAACUGGAGGACCGAACCGACUAAUGUUGAAAAAUUAGCGGAUGACCUGUGGCUGGGGGUGAAAGGCCAAUCAAACCGGGAGAUAGCUGGUUCUCCCCGAAAGCUAUUUAGGUAGCGCCUCGUGAAUUCAUCUCCGGGGGUAGAGCACUGUUUCGGCUAGGGGGCCAUCCCGGCUUACCAACCCGAUGCAAACUGCGAAUACCGGAGAAUGUUAUCACGGGAGACACACGGCGGGUGCUAACGUCCGUCGUGAAGAGGGAAACAACCCAGACCGCCAGCUAAGGUCCCAAAGUCAUGGUUAAGUGGGAAACGAUGUGGGAAGGCCCAGACAGCCAGGAUGUUGGCUUAGAAGCAGCCAUCAUUUAAAGAAAGCGUAAUAGCUCACUGGUCGAGUCGGCCUGCGCGGAAGAUGUAACGGGGCUAAACCAUGCACCGAAGCUGCGGCAGCGAACGUAUCACCCAAGACAACUUUACGGAGUUGACGAUUGACGGAGCGAAGCGACGUCAAAGCGUUCAUUAAAGUCGAGUUGGCUUAGGGAUACGUUCGUUGGGUAGGGGAGCGUUCUGUAAGCCUGUGAAGGUGUGUCGUGAGGCAUGCUGGAGGUAUCAGAAGUGCGAAUGCUGACAUAAGUAACGAUAAAGCGGGUGAAAAGCCCGCUCGCCGGAAGACCAAGGGUUCCUGUCCAACGUUAAUCGGGGCAGGGUGAGUCGACCCCUAAGGCGAGGCCGAAAGGCGUAGUCGAUGGGAAACGGGUUAAUAUUCCCGUACUUGGUGUUAC
rnacentral:rRNA from 2 species